GGAACGAAACGACUCUCAAAUAAUGUGAGAAAGGACAGCGAAUUGAAAUCGUCUGGAUUUGAGUCGGAAAGGCAGCGAAAUUUUAAUAACAGCCCCUACCACAAUGCAUGAUCAACUAAACUCUGUCGAUAUAUCGGACAAUAAGGUUAAUCCUGCUUUGUAACACAAAGUGAAAACCGUGUGAUAUUGCCCAUGCACUUGACACUAAUUUAUUUGUUUUAUUUGUUUUUGUUUGUUUCAGGUGAUUAAGAAAUUACUGUAGCACAUACAGAACCGGUAAAAUGAUGUAAUUUUGAAGAUUACUGAUUUAAAAAAAUUCUUUCAGCUAUUUACAUACUCCUCAGCACUAUCUGAGAACGAAGAAAGAGGAAGAAUGAGUUAUUCCAGAAGGGAGUACACCUUUAUUUCAUACAGCUGCCAUGUAAAAUGGCUUGUAGUUGAUUAUGCUCUUGAUACUAAUUAAACCAUGUUUCACUUUCCAGAUUGGUACAAACUUGACUGCAGAAGUUGGUAAAAUGUCGAAGAGAUCACUUUAACUCGUAGAUUGAAAUGAAGGCAGCACAAUUUUGAAGCUUUUCUACCACACUGCAAGACUAAUUAAAAAGUGGAAUCCAACCGCAAUCAAAGAUGUUCACAAAAUUGAUUUGAGGUAGACUCUGGAUAGCAAAGGACGGCAUUCGUACUGUUUUUCUGAUUGAAAACAUCUAAAAUACUACUCCACACAAUGUGAGUGUUCUUACAGUGAGAAUGAAUUGGACACGGAGAUGGGUACAAAACCGACUAACAGACAGUGUGCAAAAGUCGAAAGAAACCAAGUGCGUGACUGUAUCGGACAUCACAGCACAUUGUGAUGCUGCUUUAAACAGUGAAAAUUCAUUGGACUCAUAGAUGCGUACCAACGGACUCCCACAUAAUGUGGGAAAAGACAGAGGAGUAAUUUCGGCUGGAUUUUAGUCUUUUGCAAGUGAUUAAAGGUCUUUAAAUAGAUAGUCAGGCAGCAGUUAGAGUGGGCGGUAAUUUGAGCUCUUGGUUUAUCGUAGUU